AAGGGAAAAGGGAGCUGAGAGCUGGUAUGGUUGGAAUAAUGCUACAUGGAGCAGAGGAGCACUGCAUUUCUUUCUCAUUUGCAGAUACAUCGUCCAGCGUCAGAGCUGGACUGGGCCGUGCUGGAGGCUCAUUCUGCAGAGCUCACCCUGCUGCAGUUCAGACCCGGCAACCUCUCCUCCCCCAUUGCACACAGAUAACAGCACCCUGUGCCACACCUGCCCCCAGCGCCCGAGUGCAGCACAUAGGCAAAGUGCAUCCGGACCCAACAGCUGCUCCGUGCAGAAAAAAAACUCGAGCAAGAAAUUCCCCAAAAGCUCAGCCCUUUCUCUGCUUUCUUUUUGUCAAUGGAGUGAAGUCAGCUAAACCACUCGAUUGCACGCAUUCUGUACCGGGCUGCUCACCGUGCCCUCCAUCCCUUUGAACAUUUUUCCCUUCUGAUAAAGGAGUGGGGCUCAUUUAUAACAGCAUUUUGAGCGCUGUGUGUUGCAGCCCCGGAUUUCUGCUUUCUCCUUGUCCCACUGACACGGCUGUCUGAGAACAGUCCACAUUCAAUAGGGGUAUCAGCAGCACAGAGGCAGCAGGCGCCCGCCCCAGCUUUGCUGCAGUGCACCAAGCUCUCCUCCAGCUGGGGCAGAAGGGAGAAGCAGAGGGAGCAGACCGACAGCUCCUCAUCCCAUAGCAUGAAGCCCGUCGGUACAACACACUUGGCACCCGCCGCUCGCCCGGAUGAGCUCAGCACAAUUCAGUCGCGCUGAAGAGCUUGUUAAGCAAUCCCCAGCUUUUCUGCUGACUUCCCCUACGGCUCUGCUAGACGGAGGCAGCGUUGGCACCCAUCCCAAAACUCCGGCGUCACUCUUGGCUCCAAGUCCAUCACCCAGCAUUUGCUCGUCGGCGCGUCGCGGCCGCCGGGUAGGGCAGGCAUGGCCGAGUGGCACCUCUCCUACUGCCCUGAGAGCACCCGCCAGCAUUCACAUCCCCUCCCGCUGCAACUGGGAAAGGCAGCAGCUCUGAGCAUCCCUGCGGUGGGAGGAUUAAACCCGUGCACCACCUCAAAGGGAUUUCCAGCAGGAAUAGGCAGAAAUUCACGUUGGUAGAGGAGGGACAGUGGGGCUGAAGCUGUCCCUGCAUCACUGCCCCUGUGUGUGCCAGGCCCUGCUGCGUGAGGUGCUGCGCAGAAGGGGCUGAUGAAGAGGUUGUAAUCCAAGCUUAAGGACAAACAGCUGCUGAUUCAACAACAGAUGGGAAGGAGGGAGAAGGGGACAGAUUUCUUUCCCCUCCCCCUUCUCUCCUUUCCUCCCCCCUUUUUUUUUUAUAUAUAUUCCCAUUCCCAAUGCAGAAGAAAGGCAACCCUCACUCCCCCCUGAACAAACACUUGAAUGCAGAAAGGUUUUAAUUUGCACAGAUGUUAGGGAAUGGAGCGUUUCCAACAAAACGUUAUGGCCUUUUGGGGAAAUAUUUACUUAAAACUCUUCCUACCUCUUCCCCAUAUAUCUGAGAAAGGUCAGAGAUCCCCAAAUCUGUGACAGUUCUCCUGGGCAGAGGUAAAGAUCUGUUCUGACAAACACAUUCUGCCCCAAGGAGCCCGGCUCCUCCAGCCCUCAGCCCUCAUCUUUCAGGAGAUUUUAACUUCCCAAAGAGCACAGGAGGCUUUCCUCCUUCUCAGAUCUGCUCAUCUGUAGUAAACAUCAGCACUGCAGCACGAGAAAGGGCUCCAGCUCUGCGAGAGGUGAGGAUCCUUGGGAUGGAAGUCAGGUAGCACUCCUCUCCCCAACCCCCUGCUUGGUGGGAAGGAGAGAGGCUUUUCCCUUUUUGCUUUAACAAGAAAGGAGGAGAGUAAAGUCAGCAGUAAUUUUAGUUUUGUUUUUCCCCCCAUUCUUUCUUUGAGACCUCCUGUGCAAAUGAACGCUGUGAUGAAGUAUGCAAGACAGGCUUCCCUUUGGAAAUGGGAGAUUAAAGUACAGGGAUCACUGGAACA